CCUACGGGUGGCAGCAGUGGGGAAUAUUGGACAAUGGGCGAAAGCCUGAUCCAGCCAUGCCGCGUGUGUGAAGAAGGCCUUCGGGUUGUAAAGCACUUUCAGUGGAGAAGAAAGCCUUUGGGCUAAUACCCUCGAGGAAGGACAUCACCCACAGAAGAAGCACCGGCUAACUCCGUGCCAGCAGCCGCGGUAAUACGGAGGGUGCGAGCGUUAAUCGGAAUUACUGGGCGUAAAGCGCGCGUAGGCGGUCUGAUAAGCCGGUUGUGAAAGCCCCGGGCUCAACCUGGGAACGGCAUCCGGAACUGUCAGGCUAGAGUGCAGGAGAGGAAGGUAGAAUUCCCGGUGUAGCGGUGAAAUGCGUAGAGAUCGGGAGGAAUACCAGUGGCGAAGGCGGCCUUCUGGACUGACACUGACGCUGAGGUGCGAAAGCGUGGGUAGCAAACAGGAUUAGAUACCCGUGUAGUC
rnacentral:rRNA from 1 species